AUAAAUGUUAUAUUACUUCCUGCCUUCCUCCCCCUGGAUGGCUGAUCAGGGCCAUUUCUCCAAGUAAUUUAGCAAGGCGAGUGUCUGCGGUCCCUCUCCUCGCAGACUCCUGCCCUGCACUGAUAAGUUUUAUUAGCAAAGAGGGAAGGGAUUUUCUACGACCAAAUUUCUUCUGGGCUUUCCAGGAGAAAUUGAUGGAGCUGCCCGGCUCCUUGGCCGGCACUUCAUCCUGAUGGGAUUGCCUGGGCUGUGCGGGGACUGAGCGCUACAGAAACUGUUCUAGCCCAAGGAGGGAGGGCUGGGCAAUGUUAUUCUUCUGAAGGGGAAAAUCAUCAUUUGGCUUCUUGGGUUUAUGUACCCAGGGCACCAGGGAAGCAGCUGGAAUUUGCCUGGAAACCACAAUGCUGUCGGCUUGGUUCUCAAUAGGCAACUGGGGACAAGACUGCAUUUGAUGGUCCAUCACCUGUCUUUCUGUUCUGCAUAAUAAGAACCCAUUCUCGGGGCAUCUUAUUGGCUCUGCUGAGUUUCGCAUUGUUUGGUUUCCUGUAAAGGUAUGUGUGUGCACACGUACGUCUCUGUGUGUGAAUAUGCAUAUGUAUGGAUAUGGGUAUGUACAUGGGGUAUAGGUAUGUGCCUGUGUGUAUGGAUGUAGGUAUGAGGGUGUGAGCAGGUGUAUAUAUGUGUAUGAACAUGUACAUAUGGGCAUAUGUACAUAGCUGUAUGUGUAAGUGACAAACACAUAGAGAUAUGGGUAAAUGGGUCCAUAUGUGUGUGAACACGAUAUGUUUGGGGCACAAGGGUGUGUGCGUGCGUGUGUGUGUGAGUCCACUUAUCUGAAUGUGUUUCUGUGUGUGUAUAUGUUUGUUUCUGCUUCCAUCAGGCACUCAGUAGGGGAUCCCAGAGCCAUACUGAGUCGAAGCUUCAGGAGAUGCAGAGACAUAUCUGCAAGGGCCCCAGCAACCAGUGACCUAAACCUACUUGAGAAGCAGUGGAGGACAAAGGAAGAUCCGCACAAACUGAGUCCUGGGUCUGUCUCCCACAAGCAGGACAUCUCAGGUGGUCCUGAUUGCUGGGUGACACCAGCCAGAGCAGGGCUUCUCCCCUCCUGA
rnacentral:lncRNA from 1 species